UAAUCAUUUCGUUUUACAUGUUCAUAAGCAAGUCUGUAAGAAUAUGUCUUCAUGGCAAAUUGGUCCAUGCAGCAAAAAAGCAAAACAGUAAAAGAGUGGGGAUGGCUUUACUGUAAAAUUUUCAAUAGAGUCAUCAACUCAUUUGACUCUCAUCACAUUAGUGUCGAUCACAAAAAAAUCGCUAGUCUUGCAUUUCCUGGUGUGUGCAACUAAACCUGACAGUACUUAACAGGGCAUAUUAGCAAACAUUUAUUGAGCGGCAGUGGACAUGUGGCACCCCUGCACUGACGUCAAUGCUGGAGCUGGGCCAGGCAGGGGAGCUUCAUUCGAAUCUGUAGAGACAACAAGGGAGCUCAAAAGCUACGUUCUGGCAAAGCAGGGCUGCCUUGGUUGCUGGGAGCAGAUUUGUUAACGUAGCCUAAUAUCACCGGACAGCUCAGUAUACUCAGGAGUCAGCUCAGAUCUGAUCCCUUUGUCAAUGAGGAUAAUCAAUAAUGUUUCGACAGUGAGGAUGCUGAGGAUGGGGAUAGAUAAAAUGUUAUGGAGACAUGGUGGCACUCAGGGAGGACAUAAAACUCAAACUCAAGUGUGUGAUUAAUGCAGCAUCCAUUUCCUUGUUUUCCUUGUUUUGUGCAACGAUCUUUCUUCAAAUAUUACCUCUGCAAUGUGAGCUUGCCAAAGUUCUCCUCAAGGGCCAAUGCUGUAAAAGCAGUUGCGCUUAAUGGUAUUUUGCUUCAUAGAGUGCCAUAUUUUUCCAUACUGUAACACACUUCGGAGUAUAAGCCGCACUUCAACGAAAGGGCUAUUUUAAAGCUGUAAAAAUACAGAACCCAACAUACUCAUAGCUGCUCUGCCAUUGGCUAUUACUGAGCAUCAUCCUGGCAUCCCAUUGGCUAAGAGGGACCGCUACCGUAUGUGUCUAUGUGUGUAGAUAGAUGGAUGUGUCUAUGCAGCGUCCUUGUCAUUCUCCCCCCAGACCAUGAAGUGUUCCGAUUCGUUGAUGUAAAUGUGAAUCAUCCAGAAAAAGCAUUCAUCAGUACGGCGAUCGCUCACUAUGCUGAUGUUUGCCUUGGACAUUUUUAAAGGAUUGUUAAAAGCCGACAAAAGCAAACAUCUUUGGAUCAGUUCUUUACAAAAAGCCAGGGAAAAAACACUUCUGAGAGGGAACAUGAAAUGAAGAGGGCAAA